rnacentral:misc_RNA from 1 species
GAUGAAGAACGUAGCGAAAUGCGAUAAGUAGUGUGAAUUGCAGAAUUACCUGGAUCAUCGAAUCUUUGAACGCACAUUGCGCCCCCUGGUAUUCCUGGGGGCAUGCCUGUUCGAGCGUCAUUAACAACCAAUCGGGCGGGGCUUUUGCAUGCUCCCGCUCGGCCAUGGGGGAUGGACGUCGUCGGACGCCCACCCCCGAAAUGCAACGGCGGACGGCCACCCGUGGCACUGCGGCGUAGUAAGUUAACCCUUCGCGCGCGCCCACGGAGUGGACUGCCCGGCCGCUUGAACCCCCACACAUCCUACGGUUGACCUCGGAUCAGGUAGGGAUACCCGCUGAACUUAAGCAUAUCAAUAAGCGGAGGA